rnacentral:rRNA from 1 species
AGAGUUUGAUCAUGGCUCAGGAUGAACGCUAGCGGCAGGCCUAAUACAUGCAAGUCGAACGGGAGUAGCAAUACUCUAGUGGCGCACGGGUGCGUAACGCGUAUGCAACCUACCUUUCAGUGGGGGAUAGCCCGGGGAAACCCGGAUUAAUACCGCAUAAGAUAGUUGACUGGCAUCAGUUAAUUAUGAAACAUUUAUGGCUGAAAGAUGGGCAUGCGUUAGAUUAGCUAGUUGGUGAGGUAGAGGCUCACCAAGGCUAUGAUCUAUAGGGGUUCUGAGAGGAAGAUCCCCCACACUGGUACUGAGACAGGGACCAGACUCCUACGGGAGGCAGCAGUAGGGAAUAUUGGGCAAUGGAGGCAACUCUGACCCAGCCAUGCCGCGUGCAGGAAGAAGGCCUUCUGGGUUGUAAACUGCUUUUGGAAGGGAACAAAAAGGCUUUGCGAAGCAACUUGAGUGUACCUUCAGAAUAAGCACCGGCUAACUCCGUGCCAGCAGCCGCGGUAAUACGGAGGGUGCAAGCGUUGUCCGGAUUUAUUGGGUUUAAAGGGUGCGUAGGCGGCUUAUUAAGUCAGGGGUGAAAGACUGCAGCUCAACUGUAGCAGUGCCUUUGAUACUGAUGAGCUUGAGUACAGAUGAGGCAGGCGGAAUGGGUGGUGUAGCGGUGAAAUGCAUAGAUACCAUCCAGAACACCGAUUGCGAAGGCAGCCUGCUAAACUGUAACUGACGCUGAGGCACGAAAGCGUGGGGAUCGAACAGGAUUAGAUACCCUAGUAGUCC